UCCUUCCGCAGAGUACACUUGCAGAAGCCUUAGUGGCCUGAAAGGGUUUCAUCAGCGACUCUAAACAAGUAGGUGGAUUAAACGCUAGUCUCUUUCAAAGAGGCGACACUAUCAAAUUGCGGGAAGAUCCUGUCAGGUCCACAUCACCGCGGCUCACCGAAAGGUGUAGUGCAGCACCAGGCUAACAACCUUGGGUAUGGUAAUAGUAUGUGGAAUAGGGAGAAUCUGCAGCCAAGCCCCUCUCCUGGGGUGCAGUUCACAGGCCAAAUGGUAGUGGGCACUCUGGUGCUUAAGAUAUGGUCGAGUCCCAAUUGAAAAAUUGGGUACAAGUACUCUGAUUGAUCACAUACAGCCUAUGCUCAGUCAAAUACAGCUAGUUGUAAAUGCAAAUGUUCCGUAGGUGAACCUGC
rnacentral:rRNA from 1 species